UUGGUUAGUGGCGGACGGGUGAGUAACACGUAGGCAACCUGCCCACAAGAUCGGGAUAACAUUCGGAAACGAAUGCUAAGACCGGAUAAACAAUUUGGUCGCAUGGCUAAGUUGGGAAACACGGUGUAAGCUGUGGCUUGUGGAUGGGCCUGCGGCGCAUUAGCUAGUUGGUGGGGUAACGGCUCACCAAGGCGACGAUGCGUAGCCGACCUGAGAGGGUGAACGGCCACACUGGGACUGAGACACGGCCCAGACUCCUACGGGAGGCAGCAGUAGGGAAUCUUCCACAAUGGGCGAAAGCCUGAUGGAGCAACGCCGCGUGAGUGAGGAAGGCUUUCGGGUCGUAAAGCUCUGUUGCCAGGGAAGAAUAAGAAUAUGUUAACUGCAUAUUCGAUGACGGUACCUGAGAAGAAAGCCCCGGCUAACUACGUGCCAGCAGCCGCGGUAAUACGUAGGGGGCAAGCGUUGUCCGGAUUUAUUGGGCGUAAAGCGCGCGCA
rnacentral:rRNA from 1 species